GAAGAUUUAAGUCAUGCAAGUACGGUUUUCCUCAGCGUUUGAGAUGUCAGCACAAAGGACAUGUCGGGCAGCUGCUCGAAGAUCUCGCCUUUGGAGAAGACUGUUGAUUUUAUACUCUAAAAAUAUGGUGAACCCCACAUCCUACUGCCACCUCAACACAGAUGUGUCAAUUCUGCAGCUGCGCUGUGCUUCACUGUGUUGAGCCAGAGGAUGAGGAAGACCAUGAUGACACCCCUGAACCACACAACCUUGAG